CUAUAAGUAGCAUGUACUUUACAUUUUUGAGAACAAGUUUUUUCUAAGUUUUAUUCCGCAGACACAGUGUUCUUGACCUUUUGUAAUCCGGAUUUCUCUAAUCUAUUCAGUAUUCAGCAUUUGCUUUUUAUUUCGUUUACUGUUGUUCAUCCUAUUAUCAUCUUGCUA
rnacentral:sRNA from 1 species